GACGAACGCUGGCGGUGUGCUUAACACAUGCAAGUCGAACGGUAAGGCCCUUUCGGGGGUACACGAGUGGCGAACGGGUGAGUAACACGUGAGUAACCUGCCCUCAUCUCUGGGAUAACAGUCGGAAACGGUUGCUAAUACUGGAUAUGAGCUUGCAAGGCAUCUUGUGGGUUGGAAAGAUUUUUUUUGGUUGGGGAUGGACUCGCGGCCUAUCAGCUUGUUGGUGAGGUAGUGGCUCACCAAGGCUUCGACGGGUAGCCGGCCUGAGAGGGCGACCGGCCACAUUGGGACUGAGAUACGGCCCAAACUCCUACGGGAGGCAGCAGUGGGGAAUAUUGCACAAUGGACGGAAGUCUGAUGCAGCAACGCCGCGUGCGGGAUGACGGCCUUCGGGUUGUAAACCGCUUUCAAUUGUGACGAAGCUUUUUUGUGACGGUAGCAGUGGAAGAAGCACCGGCUAACUACGUG
rnacentral:rRNA from 1 species